rnacentral:rRNA from 1 species
AUUGAACGCUGGCGGCAGGCCUAACACAUGCAAGUCGAGCGGAUGAAGGGAGCUUGCUCCUGGAUUCAGCGGCGGACGGGUGAGUAAUGCCUAGGAAUCUGCCUGGUAGUGGGGGAUAACGUCCGGAAACGGGCGCUAAUACCGCAUACGUCCUGAGGGAGAAAGUGGGGGAUCUUCGGACCUCACGCUAUCAGAUGAGCCUAGGUCGGAUUAGCUAGUUGGUGGGGUAAAGGCCUACCAAGGCGACGAUCCGUAACUGGUCUGAGAGGAUGACCAGUCACACUGGAACUGAGACACGGUCCAGACUCCUACGGGAGGCAGCAGUGGGGAAUAUUGGACAAUGGGCGAAAGCCUGAUCCAGCCAUGCCGCAUGUGUGAAGAAGGUCUUCGGAUUGUAAAGCACUUUAAGUUGGGAGGAAGGGCAGUAAGUUAAUACCUUGCUGUUUUGACGUUACCAACAGAAUAAGCACCGGCUAACUUCGUG